GGAAUAACUCAGGGAAACUUGAGCUAAUACCGGAUACGGUCGAGAGGCGAAAGAUUUAUCGCCGGAGGAUUGGCCCGCGUCCGAUUAGCUAGUUGGUGUGGUAAUGGCGCACCAAGGCGACGAUCGGUAGCUGGUCUGAGAGGAUGAUCAGCCACAUUGGGACUGAGACACGGCCCAAACUCCUACGGGAGGCAGCAGUGGGGAAUAUUGGACAAUGGGCGAAAGCCUGAUCCAGCCAUGCCGCGUGAGUGAUGAAGGCCUUAGGGUUGUAAAGCUCUUUCGCCCACGACGAUAAUGACGGUAGUGGGAGAAGAAGCCCCGGCUAACUUCGUGCCAGCAGCCGCGGUAAUACGAAGGGGGCUAGCGUUGUUCGGAAUUACUGGGCGUAAAGCGCGUGUAGGCGGGUCCUUAAGUCAGGGGUGAAAUGCCAAGGCUCAACCUUGGAACUGCCUUUGAUACUGGGGAUCUUGAGUCCGGGAGAGGUGAGUGGAACUGCGAGUGUAGAGGUGAAAUUCGUAGAUAUUCGCAAGAACACCAGUGGCGAAGGCGGCUCACUGGCCCGGAACUGACGCUGAGACGCGAAAGCGUGGGGAGCAAACAGGAUUAGAUACCCUGGUAGUCCACGCUGUAAACGAUGGAUGCUAGCCGUUGGGGAGCUUGCUCUUCAGUGGCGCAGCUAACGCCU
rnacentral:rRNA from 1 species